AGCAGCCGCGGUAAUUCCAGCUCCAAUAGCGUAUAUUAAAGUUGUUGCAGUUAAAAAGCUCGUAGUUGAAUUUCGGGAUUGACACAUCGGUCGUGCCUUAAGGGGUAUGAACUGGUGUAGUCAAUUUCUCACCUUCUGGAGAACCGCGAUGCCCUUAAUUGGGUGUCGCGGGGAACCAGGACCUUUACUUUGAAAAAUUAGAGUGUUUAAAGCAGGCAUUUUGCUUGAAUACACUAGCAUGGAAUAAUAAAAUAGGACGGCAUGAUUCUAUUUUGUUGGUUUCUAGGAUCACCGUAAUGAUUAAUAGGGAUAGUUGGGGGCAUUAGUAUUCAAUUGUCAGAGGUGAAAUUCUUGGAUUUAUUGAAGACUAACUACUGCGAAAGCAUUUGCCAAGGAUGUUUUCAUUAAUCAAGAACGAAAGUUAGGGGAUCGAAGACGAUCAGAUACCGUCGUAGUCUUAACCAUAAACUAUGCCGACUAGGAAUCAGAC
rnacentral:misc_RNA from 1 species